rnacentral:rRNA from 1 species
CCUAGGGGAGGCAGCAGUGGGGAAUAUUGGGCAAUGGGCGCAAGCCUGACCCAGCGACGCCGCGUGAGGGAUGAAGGCCUUCGGGUUGUAAAGCUCUUUUGUCAGGGAAGAAGCGAAAGUGACGGUACCUAAAGAAGAAGCACCGGCUAACUAUGUGCCAGCAGCCGCGGUAAU